rnacentral:rRNA from 1 species
CCUACGGGUGGCAGCAGUCGAGAAUCAUUCACAAUGGGGGAAACCCUGAUGGUGCGACGCCGCGUGGGGGAAUGAAGGUCUUCGGAUUGUAAACCCCUGUCAUGUGGGAGCAAAUUAACAAGAUAGUACCACAAGAGGAAGAGACGGCUAACUCUGUGCCAGAAGCAGCGGUAAUACAGAGGUCUCAAGCGUUGUUCGGAAUCACUGGGCGUAAAGCGUGCGUAGGCUGUUUCGUAAGUCGUGAGUGAAAGGCGCGGGCUCAACCCGCGGACUGCACAUGAUACUGCGAGACUAGAGUAAUGGAGGGGGAACCGGAAUUCUCGGUGUAGCAGUGAAAUGCGUAGAUAUCGGGAGGAACACUAGUGGCGAAGGCGGGUUACUGGACAUUAACUGACGCUGAGGCACGAAGGCCAGGGGAGCGAAAGGGAUUAGAUACCCUGGUAGUC